GAUGAAGAACGCAGCGAAAUGAGAUAAGUAAUGUGAAUUGCAGAAUUCAGUGAAUCAUCGAAUCUUUGAACGCACAUUGCGCCCGCCAGUAUUCUGGCGGGCAUGCCUGUUCGAGCGUCAUUACAACCCUCAGGCCCCCGGGCCUGGCGUUGGGGAUCGGCGGAGCCCCCCGUGGGCACACGCCGUCCCCCAAAUACAGUGGCGGUCCCGCCGCAGCUUCCAUCGCGUAGUAGCUAACACCUCGCGACUGGAGAGCGGCGCGGCCACGCCGUAAAACACCCAACUCUUCUGAAGUUGACCUCGAAUCAGGAAGGAAUACCCGCUGAACUUAAGCAUAUCAAUAAGCGGAGGA
rnacentral:misc_RNA from 1 species